CCUACGGGGGGCUGCAGUGGGGAAUAUUGGACAAUGGGCGAAAGCCUGAUCCAGUCAUGCCGCGUGUGUGAAGAAGGCCUUCGGGUUGUAAAGCACUUUCAGUGGGGAAGAAAGCCUUGGGGCUAAUACCCUCGAGGAAGGACAUCACCCACAGAAGAAGCACCGGCUAACUCCGUGCCAGCAGCCGCGGUAAUACGGAGGGUGCGAGCGUUAAUCGGAAUUACUGGGCGUAAAGCGCGCGUAGGCGGUCUGAUAAGCCGGUUGUGAAAGCCCCGGGCUCAACCUGGGAACGGCAUCCGGAACUGUCAGGCUAGAGUGCAGGAGAGGAAGGUAGAAUUCCCGGUGUAGCGGUGAAAUGCGUAGAGAUCGGGAGGAAUACCAGUGGCGAAGGCGGUCUUCUGGACUGACACUGACGCUGAGGUGCGAAAGCGUGGGUAGCAAACAGGAUUAGAUACCCCAGUAGUC
rnacentral:rRNA from 1 species